rnacentral:sRNA from 1 species
GAUCUCCACGUCUUGGAGGCCGGGAUAGGUGUGCGCCCGGCAGAACAUCACAAAUACACAUGCAUGCAGGCUCCGACUGAUUCCAGGCCUGUAGGGGCUAAAGAGGUCUAGGGCAGUAGAGGCCCGAAGCCCAGGCUGGUCUGUCCAAGGAAAAAGGAGCGUGAUUGGUACCAGAUCUUCGUUCCCUGCAGAACCUUGACAGUUGGACAAGUGACCUCCUCUAGAACAGAUGGAAAGUCUCCAGAAGCAGAGGAUUUAGUGAACGAAAUUCGCAAUAAUCAGCUCCAGAUCCUGAAAAGGAGGGCGAAGAAUCAGUGGCCAAAGCUAACCGCUUCAUACCCACACUUCAUCCUCCUGUUUCUCUCCAGGCCACCAUGUCUGCAGGCAACGGCACCCCUUGGGGGUCAGCAGCGGGGGAGGAGGUCUGGGCUGGAUCAGGAGUGGAGGUGGAGGGCUCAGAGCUGCCCACCUUCUCGGCAGCAGCCAAGGUCCAAGUGGGAGUGACCAUUGUGCUGUUUGUUUCUUCGGCUGGAGGGAACCUGGCAGUCCGGCGGUCAGUGACACGGCCGCAACCCAGCCAGCUCCGCCCCUCUCCGGUCAGGAGACUCUUCGCCCAUUUAGCAGCCACCGACUUACUAGUCACUUUUGUGGUUAUGCCCCUAGAUGCCACCUGGAAUGUCACUGUUCAAUGGCUGGCUGUGGACAUCGCAUGUCGGACACUCAUGUUCCUGAAACUAAUGGCCAUGUAUUCUGCAGCUUUCCUGCCUGUGAUCAUUGGACUGGACCGCCAGGCAGCAGUACUCAACCCGCUUGGAUCCCGUUCAGGUGUAAGGAAACUUCUGGGGGCAGCCUGGGGACUUAGUUUCCUGCUUGCCUUGCCCCAGCUGUUCCUGUUCCAUACCGUCCACCGAGCUGGCCCAGUCCCUUUCACUCAGUUUGUCACCAAAGGCAGCUUCAAGGCUCGAUGGCGAGAGACCACCUAUAACCUCUUCACCUUCUGCUGCCUCUUUCUGCUGCCACUGACUGCCAUGGCCAUCUGCUAUAGCCGCAUUGUCCUCAGUGUGUCCAGCCCCCAGACAAGGAAGGGGAGCCAUGCCCCUGCUGGUGAAUUUGCCCUCCCCCACUCCUUUGACAAUUGUCCCUGUGUUUGUCUCCGGGCCCUGAGAUUGGCCCUGCUUAUCUUGCUGACCUUCAUCGUCUGCUGGACCCCUUAUUACCUACUGGGUCUGUGGUACUGGUUCUCCCUCACCAUGCUAACUGAAGUCCCUCCCAGCCUGAGCCACAUCCUUUUCCUCUUUAGCCUCCUCAAUGCUCCUUUGGAUCCUCUCCUCUAUGGGGCCUUCACCCUUGGCUGCCGAAGAGGGCACCAAGAACUUAGCAUAGACGUUUCUAAAGAAGGGUCUGGGAGAAUGCUCCAAGAGGAGAUUCAUGCCCUUAGACAGCUAGAAGUACAAAAAACUGUGACAUCAAGAAAGGCAGGAGAAACAAAAGACAUUUCUAUAACAUCUAUCUGAUCCUAACAGAGUAUAUAGGAACAGAAUAGUAAGUCUUUAGUACCAGAAGAUCUUAACAUCUCACUUCUACUCCUCCUCUCC